rnacentral:snoRNA from 1 species
UCCGGUCCUUAUUGAAGCUGCAGCUGCUUCACCAUAGCCAUUGUGUCAAAGUGAGCUGAGUGACAUUUUCCCACCAUCCCGUAGUUUGCAUAUGAUCUGCACUUGUGGGAAAGACAGCU